rnacentral:rRNA from 1 species
AACGAACGCUGGCGGCAUGCCUAACACAUGCAAGUCGAACGAUGCCUUCGGGCAUAGUGGCGCACGGGUGCGUAACGCGUGGGAAUCUGCCCUUGGCUUCGGAAUAACAGUUAGAAAUGACUGCUAAUACCGGAUGAUGUCCCCCUGAGAGAUCUUGGGGACCAAAGAUUUAUCGGCCAGGGAUGAGCCCGCGUAGGAUUAGGUAGUUGGUGGGGUAAAGGCCUACCAAGCCGACGAUCCUUAGCUGGCCUGAGAGGAUGAUCAGCCACACUGGGACUGAGACACGGCCCAGACUCCUACGGGAGGCAGCAGUGGGGAAUAUUGGACAAUGGGGGGAACCCUGAUCCAGCAAUGCCGCGUGAGUGAUGAAGGCCUUAGGGUUGUAAAGCUCUUUUACCAGGGAUGAUAAUGACAGUACCUGGAGAAUAAGCGCCGGCUAACUCCGUG